rnacentral:rRNA from 1 species
GAUGAACGCUGGCGGCGUGCCUAAUACAUGCAAGUCGAGCGAACAGACGAGGAGCUUGCUCCUCUGACGUUAGCGGCGGACGGGUGAGUAACACGUGGAUAACCUACCUAUAAGACUGGGAUAACUUCGGGAAACCGGAGCUAAUACCGGAUAAUAUAUUGAACCGCAUGGUUCAAUAGUGAAAGACGGUUUUGCUGUCACUUAUAGAUGGAUCCGCGCCGCAUUAGCUAGUUGGUAAGGUAACGGCUUACCAAGGCAACGAUGCGUAGCCGACCUGAGAGGGUGAUCGGCCACACUGGAACUGAGACACGGUCCAGACUCCUACGGGAGGCAGCAGUAGGGAAUCUUCCGCAAAGGGCGAAAGCCUGACGGAGCAACGCCGCGUGAGUGAUGAAGGUCUUCGGAUCGUAAAACUCUGUUAUUAGGGAAGAACAACUGUGUAAGUAACUAUGCACGUCUUGACGGUACCUAAUCAGAAAGCCACGGCUAACUACGUG